rnacentral:rRNA from 1 species
AACGCGAAGAACCUUACCAGCCCUUGACAUCCCGGUCGCGGGAACGAGAGAUCGAUCCCUUCAGUUCGGCUGGACCGGAGACAGGUGCUGCAUGGCUGUCGUCAGCUCGUGUCGUGAGAUGUUGGGUUAAGUCCCGCAACGAGCGCAACCCUCGCCCUUAGUUGCCAUCAUUCAGUUGGGCUCUCUAAGGGGACUGCCGGUGAUAAGCCGCGAGGAAGGUGGGGAUGACGUCAAGUCCUCAUGGCCCUUACGGGCUGGGCUACACACGUGCUACAAUGGCGGUGACAGUGGGAUGCAAUGGGGCAACCCUGCGCAAAUCUCAAAAAGCCGUCUCAGUUCGGAUUGUGCUCUGCAACUCGAGCACAUGAAGUUGGAAUCGCUAGUAAUCGCAGAUCAGCACGCUGCGGUGAAUACGUUCCCGGGCCUUGUA